AAGGAUAAUAUCAACCAAAAAGAGGAUCAUGCUGUCAAGGAAGAGAUGUAAGAGGAAACACAGUCUUUGAAGUCAGACUAGAUAAAUAAGAAGAUAAAACAUCCAAGCUCUUUCAUUCUACAUAAGAUGAAUUCUCUUCAGACUCCUAAUUGUCCAAGGAUCCCUCUUCUGUUCUUUCCGUUGUUUGAAUUGAUCCUCUGAACUUUUAUGUGCAGAAUGGUAAACAACUUUGUAAAGUAGCUUUAAUAUGUCC